ACCUAAUCGGGUCAAACCCAACUCAAUCCAAUUCAAUUAGACUUGAUCCAAAAAUAAUUACUCAAUCAAAUUGAGUUAAUUAGUGAUCAAAUCACUAAUUAAACCUCUCAUAAAUAUUGAGUCCAAAUUCGAUGGGUAAUCGGGCAUCAGAAUUUAUCGAUAUGUAACCCUGAUCGAAGAGUCCCAAACCAGUGGGACUCUUGACCCCGAUACCCA
rnacentral:lncRNA from 1 species